rnacentral:rRNA from 1 species
CUGCUGCCUCCCGUAGGAGUUUGGGCCGUGUCUCAGUCCCAAUGUGGCCGUUCACCCUCUCAGGCCGGCUACUGAUCGUCGCCUUGGUGGGCCUUUACCCCGCCAACCAGCUAAUCAGACGCGGAUCCAUCGUAUACCACCGGAGUUUUUCACACUGCUUCAUGCGAAGCUGUGCGCUUAUGCGGUAUUAGCACCUAUUUCCUAAGUGUUAUCCCCCAGUAUACGGCAGGUUCUCCACGCGUUACUCACCGUCCG